AUGAAUCCAGUAAAGCUGAGAUUGAUAUGCAUGACACUUUUGUCUCUGUAUCUUUUAGGUUGGAGUCACAGAAGAGCUGUUUCAAUUAUAAUACCAAUUAUAUUACUUCUUGUUGCUGGAGCAAUAAUGGUGUAUCUGCUAAAAAAUGGUCAUCUAAGAAAGUUAUAUGAAACGAAAUGUCGUCACCAUCAUGAGCACCUUGAGCCAGCAGAUCACUUUUUGCCAGAAACUCCUGAUACCGACGCCCGCUCACCUGUUCAGGAGGACCUUCCACAGAGUCCACAGAUGACAGAAAACCACAGGCUUGUGGCUCAGGAGCAAGGCAAGGAUGCAAAUCUGUCUCAGCAGGUUUCACAGAACACUCAAUGUUGAAAAAAGAACAUCUGUAUGGAAUGACAUUGAAUCCCGAGAUGAGAGUGAAAUGCACCUUUUCAUCUGUGCUGUGUGUGGGAUGUAUUUGUGGACUGCACAAAUAUAUGGCUGAAGAUAAUCUAUCCUACCAUGCAAGGUGUACUGUAAGUCUGAAUCUCUGUUUUAGGGGAACAGGUUGCAAGCAUUAAUUGUAGUUUUGGGGGGAUAUCCUACAUUUUUAGGGUGGAUCAACAUUCAUUUUGAAAGUUCAAUGAAUGUCUGAGAGGAUGGAGGAAUAAAGACCCACAAAACCUAAUUUUACCUGUAGCAGUAUUUUGUAAAUGCCACAGAAAAUACUGUGUACCCUUGUAAAAGAAAAGAGUCUGAAGGCAUAUUGGCUUGUGUUUAGUUCUCAAGAUACCCUUCCUUUAUCUGUUCACAUUAGCCGUUUACACUACUGCUUGCAUGCUUGCAUGUAAUAUGGCAUAGACUUUUUUGUUCAGUGGCUAGUGGUUGUUGCAUAGAAAAUGAGUGAACACUAGCAGAAUAAGAAUCUCGUAAUAACUGAACCACAUUGCUGUGGCGUUGCAUCCGAAUUCAGUAAGACUCAUUUCAAGCUAGCAAGGCUUGGUGGAAUGUAAAACAUCGAACUGGGAAGAAUGUAACAAAAAAUUGUAAAAAACAAAUAAAAUGUUGUUGGAUGGCAACAUUAUGUAAUGUGUUUAAAGCUUUUGUAAUAGCUUUGACAUAAUCUAUCGGACUUGCUUUCCAGACCAAUCUGGGCAAAAAGAGAACCUGAUGUUUUUCACUAUGUGAAAGAAAAUUCUUCAGAUGUUCAGAGAUUUGAUGAUGGAUUGCUUCUGAGUUUUUUCUAAUUUUCAUUCCACACAAAAUGGACAGCCCCAAUUAUAGUAAUAUAACCUGUAAAAUACAUACAUAACUUGUUUGUAAUUGAACAGGAUCUAAGGCAAAAAUGACUUUUGUUGUAUACCUAUGAAUAAAUGUUUAAUGAUUUAUUAUUCAAACUAUCAAGUAAGCUGGGCAGCUGUCAGUUUUUUUUCUGAAAAAAUAAUUAAGUUUUUUAAGUGCUCAGCAUAAUUACAGCAUUAGAAGGUCUUUAUUGAUAAAGCAACUGGUCCAGCACAGUUCAUCUGUGCAUUUUCAGGUAGUAUCAUAACUGUGUAGGUAUACACUUUUGUUGUUAAAAUUCUAUAACUGUUUUUGUGAAGUUGAGCUGUCAGAAGUGCACAACAGCUUUCUAGACAUUACAAUAGUGAACUCAGUUAUUGCUUUCUCAACAGUGCAUCCUUUGCUAUGGAUUCCAAAUCUUUUUGAUACUGACAGGUAGAAGAAGAAAUUAAAUGUGUUGAAUUCUGUGGACACGGCACAUUACUUCACCCAAGUACAGUACUUACUUUCAAUGUAUUACUGUAUUACUUCUUUUGUACAGCUAUUAGUGUUUUGUCUCAUCUAUGAAACAUUAAACGUUUAAAUCUAUUUUGGAUUCAGUGAUUUUCUUAUUCAAAAUUCAUAGACAAUCAACUUUAACCUCCUUUAUUUU
rnacentral:lncRNA from 1 species